rnacentral:rRNA from 1 species
UACGAAGGGGGCUAGCGUUGCUCGGAAUCACUGGGCGUAAAGCGCACGUAGGCGGCUUGCUAAGUCAGGGGUGAAAUCCUGGAGCUCAACUCCAGAACUGCCUUUGAUACUGGCGAUCUCGAGUCCGGGAGAGGUGAGUGGAACUGGCGAGUGUAGAGGUGAAAUUCGUAGAUAUUCGCAAGAACACCAGUGGCGAAGGCGGCUCACUGGCCCGGUACUGACGCUGAGGUGCGAAAGCGUGGGGAGCAACAGG